UACGUAGGUGGCAAGCGUUGUCCGGAAUUAUUGGGCGUAAAGCGCGCGCAGGCGGUCCUUUAAGUCUGAUGUGAAAGCCCACGGCUCAACCGUGGAGGGUCAUUGGAAACUGGGGGACUUGAGUCAGAGAGAAGAGUGGAAUUCCACGUGUAGCGGUGAAAUGCGUAGAGAUGUGGAGGAACACCAGUGGCGAAGGCGACUCUUUGGCCUGUAACUGACGCUGAGGCGCGAAAGCGUGGGGAGCAAACAGG
rnacentral:rRNA from 1 species